GGCCCCGUAGCUCAGAUGGAUAGAGCAGCAGUUUCCUAAACUGCGUGUCGGCUGUUCGAAUCAGCCCGGGGUCACCA
rnacentral:tRNA from 1 species